rnacentral:pre_miRNA from 1 species
CAGCAGCACACUGUGGUUUGUUCAGUGUUAUGGCCAAGUCCAAACCACACUGUGGUGUUAGA